CGGCCCCUCUUUAGAUAUAGUGCUGUUUAACGUGAUGCUAACACUUACAUCAGUUGUAAAGAUAGAGCUAUGUAGGGAGCUGCUGGAGGUCUUGGCCCUACCCAGGUUUUCCUGUACCGCAGGUUUUUUCCUGGCCUCCCUGAUUAUCCAGCUUUAGCAUAAGGGUUGGCAUCCCGUAAACGGCACUCUUAAAGUUGCCUCCGUACUCAUUCUCGCAAUUCAAUCAGAUUUCUAAACAUGGAAUAUUGAGUGAUGGACAACUCUUUGAAAUGGUUCUUCGUUAUAACAGGUUCACUUGUUCCUCCAGGAAAAACCAAGGAUAGCUAGAGCACUUCACCGUUCGAGCACUUACUUGCCCAAAAUUUGUGCAGUAAAAUGCGUCUGUUGUCCGGCCAGUUAGUAUAAAAUAACCGGCCGGAUACCGGAUAUUUAUUUAAGGUUCAGGCCUUUAGGAUAAAAAUGAUGUAAUAUUCAUGGCUUAGCAGGUAUGAGUAUUUAAAUGAUCACAGAGCAGCUAGCUGGCAAUAUUGACAAGAUUUAUCAUGUCCCCUUGCAAUAUACGAACAAAUGGGUUCGAAAUUUUUUGACUGCUGGCUUUUCCAACCACUAUAUAUUAUAUGCAUGCAUGUUUAUCGAUGUUGGACUGUAAAGUUCUUUCCUAUCAUUUCCAGUCAAUAUAUUACAAACACUAUCACUUUAUAACAAAUGAACAUAAUUAUUUAGCCUUGGAUGAUUAGGUCUGAACCUUAUAUAAUCAAUAUUCGGGCGGAUAAUCAGGUCAGAUAUCAUGCAUAAAUCAUACAAUGGACAAUUACGCAUUCAGUUUUCUCUGCCCGGCAGAGCAAGACAAACCUUUGACAAUUUUCAUUCCAUUUUCGUACAAAAUGAUCCAAAAUAUAAUCGAUUUGGUCUUGGCCGUUUACUAUUUAUAAUAGUCGUUCGACAUUUUUGAGUUAUAAUGCCAAAAGACAAAAACACACCGUCACUGACACACAAUUCAUACAAACCCAGGUGAAAACAUAACCUGGCGUAGGUAACCAGCAUUAAAAAAAAAGAAGUGGAUCAAGACCACCCACCUGAAAUUUUUAAUUGGUUAGUAAGGACGAAAAACAAGAGCAAUUUACGGCUGACAAAGCCGACUUUGUCUGAAAUCGUACAAAGUUCCUGUUAUAUAUAAGAACCACUUCAGUCAGUCCAUAUACGUAGUGGAAGAUUAGCUUACACUGUUAUAGCUAAACUGUUGUAUUUUGUAAAUACUGUAAAUAAUUUAACUUUCUUUAAAUAAAGUCUAAUUAUAACCAC